rnacentral:lncRNA from 1 species
UUCCUAGGUGAAACAAGAAUUGAUUUUAAUCAAAUCAAAGUGCAUAGUUCAGAGUUUGUUUGCUGUGUGGCAUGUCUUGUUUAGAGAUUCAUCCAACGGAAUCGGGAUUCCAUUUUGGAUUUCGAUUCUAUUUAGAUAUGGUGUAGACAUAAGGCGUUCUUACACAAACAAAACUCUCUCACUUUGUCUCGCUUUCUCUAUUCUCUAUAAAAAAAUAGAUAUAAGAUAUAAAAAAUAUUAAAUAAUCAAAUUCUAAAUAAUAAAAGAUUCUAAAUAAUAAAAGUAAUUUAAUUAAAUACUAAAAUAUACUAAUCUAACCUAAUAGAAUAUUCUAUUACUAAUGUAUUCUAAUGAAUAGUAAUACUAUGUUUUUUUCUUGAUACUUCCUUAUAUUUAUUUCUUUGUAUUUUAUAUUUCGAAAUAUUUCUUAUUUAUACAUUAUAUAACAUUAUAUAUUUACUUAUAAUUUAUAUAAUGUAUAAAUAAGAAAAUGAAAUAAGAUAAUGAAAUAUUAUCAAAAAAAUAAUAUCAAAUAUAACAUAGUUAUUAU